GACGAACGCUGGCGGCGUGCUUAACACAUGCAAGUCGAACGGAGCCUAUCGAAUGAAGAUUUCGGUCAGAAUUUGAGAAAGCUUAGUGGCGGACGGGUGAGUAACGCGUGAGGAACCUGCCUUUCAGAGGGGGACAACAGUUGGAAACGACUGCUAAUACCGCAUAACGCAGCAGUAUCGCAUGGUACAGUUGCCAAAGAAUUAUCGCUGAAAGAUGGCCUCGCGUCUGAUUAGAUAGUUGGCGGGGUAACGGCCCACCAAGUCGACGAUCAGUAGCCGGACUGAGAGGUUGAACGGCCACAUUGGGACUGAGACACGGCCCAGACUCCUACGGGAGGCAGCAGUGGGGGAUAUUGCGCAAUGGGGGGAACCCUGACGCAGCAACGCCGCGUGAAGGAUGAAGGUCUUCGGAUCGUAAACUUCUGUCUUCAGGGACGAAGAAUGACGGUACCUGAGGAGGAAGCCACGGCUAACUACGUGCCAGCAGCCGACGG
rnacentral:rRNA from 1 species